rnacentral:lncRNA from 1 species
CUGAUUUCCAGCUUAUCUAUUAUAUUCAGUUUCUCAAUUCAUCAUAUAGAAUUCAAUAUUUCGACUUACAACUCUCACAGUCUGGCACUCUAGACUAACUUCUCAGUAUUCGGAAACUAUCCAUUAUUCGUCAACAACAAAGAAACAAAAAGACAUAGCACCGAACUUGCGUCGGCUUACAACUAUUACAAUUUGACACUGAUCUCCCUU